GAAGAUGUGGCAGCUGCUGUAACCAUGUCCAGUUGAUUUCUGUCCCAGCUGGGCCCUGGCCCGUGGCAGAGCUCUGCCCCCAGGUGACACAGUGACCAAAGGAGGGACACAGCCCCACUGCUGCCUGCUGGGCUCCUGAGCGAGUCACAGUGCCAGGCACCCACUCUAAACAAACUGAAGCUGCAUUAUGAAUCAGGUGGCAACAAAAAUCACAAUUAGCUGCAGGACUGCCCUGAUGGAAGUUCAGUUUUCCAAGGCUCUGGGGAAAUACAAAGCCAAAAUCAGAAGCUCCUCUGGACCUUUCAGAUGCAUUUCCACCUUUGCCUGCAUGGCUCUGGAAAGUGGGAAGAGGCAGGCAGCUCCAUUAGCUCUUGGCUUCUGCAAGGUCCCGUGCUGUCCACAGCCUGAGUCAAAGCCCUUUGUGGGUCAUGGAGGGGCUGCAUGAUCUCACUCCAGGCAUUUGUCUUCCCUGGCCUCCUAUUAAGCCUGUCAGGAGAAUUGGCUCAAUGCAAGAAAAACUGGAGCUCCUUAAAAAUGUAUUGGCACAUCUGGGCUGAACUUCCUCGGGUGAAGCAGUUGUAAAAAACGGCUCUGCUGUGAACUUUGAAGCAUCAAUUUGUUAAAGAAGCAGUGAUUUCCCUCUCUGAACAAUGCUCUCUGUGGUGGGAAGCCUUGGAAGGCACAUGAUGUGUGUUAGAAACAUUUUCAGAGGUACUGAUAUGAAGCACUGGGUGAUGCACAAUGUUUCAAAAACAAACGAAGGCUGCCCAAAUAGCUGCUCCCCAGCAAGCCGAAGUUACAAUUCAGAUCCUGCACUGUAUUUAUCAAUAUUUUCAUUCCCAGCAGCAUUUCCUGACAUUUAUGCCAAAAGAAACUUCUGCGAAAGGUCAGCACAGGACUCAAGUGCUGUUGAGUGUGUGACCUGACAAAAGAGCACUUUCCCUCACACUUGCCUGAUCAUUCUGUGAGCUCACACCCACCAGGUCCUGAGCAUUUCCCCAGGCCCAAAGUGGGUGCAAUCACCCUCUGCAGGGUCUCAGCCCUGUAAACACCUCUAAUCUGCUCCAAAGCAGGCCUGAGCCACGGCUGAGACUUUGUCCUGCCUUCCUUCCUCUGAGCACAGCGAGCCCUGCGUGGUGCUGCACACUGCAGAGGUGGUUUCACCCGACAGCAGACUGUGAGCACACUGAACAACAAUGUGAAAGGAUGUCUGUCAGUUCACUGAUGAACGGAGAACUGAGCUGCUCCAGAUCCCCCCAAACAGCCCAGUGCUGAGCCUGGGUGGCAAGGACAGCCCUUCCUUCCACACCCCCAAAAGGGAGCACAAAUCUGGGGCUGAACUGCAGCUCCACCUUCUCCACCCCUCUCUGCAACACUGCACUUGCACUUCCUUUUCCACGAGUACAUUUCGUUUUAUUUUUCCCACACUGCUUCUCAGACUUUUGGGAAAUUCCAUAAUACCACACCAAAAGCUCCCAAUAGCAGCCAGAAUUGCUUUUAUUGCUGUUUAACACAGUGCUGAAUUUAAAUGGCUAAUGUAUAUGCCUCUCUCACACAUGAGUACAGACUGCUGCACAGCAAAACUUUAUUUUAUCAAAUUAAAAUGCACUGUAACACGAAUUUAUUGUAUCUUUGCUCAUAAGUGGUUUUAUGCAUUUGAAUUUUUUUUAGUCUUUUAGGGUUUUGGCAGUAGAUGGAAAGCAAUCAAAGUCCCAUUUGAAGCAGCCGUGUAAGCAAUUCUCAUUUACAGAAGACAAUGAAAAAUUAAUCUGAAAUGAGUGUAACUAAGUUUUCAUAGAAACAACAAAACCACUCAGACAUUACCAUUUUCAACAGCUGUUUACUGUCUUCAUCUACAAAAUCACCUGUCAAAUUUUACU